UUGGCAAUGUUUCUAGGUGGCAUUCAAAC
rnacentral:piRNA from 1 species